GGCCAGAUAGGAAAGUGGUCUAAUCCGGUGGUUUCAAGUUGCACUAGCUUGCUCAGCUUCUUCUGAGUCCUCCACUCCUUCGGGGCCUGGGUUCGAGUCCCAGUCUGGUCA